rnacentral:misc_RNA from 1 species
GUGAUCGAAAGGUUAAAAGCACCUUGAAAAGGGAGUUAAAUAGCACGUGAAAUUGUUGAAAGGGAAGCGCUUGCGACCAGACUCGGCCGCGGAGGCUCAGCGGGCACUCGUUGCCCGUGCACUCCCCCGCGGUCGGGCCAGCAUCGGUUCUGGCGGCCGGUCAAAGGCCCCUGGAAUGUGUCGCCUCUCGGGGCGUCUUAUAGCCAGGGGUGCAAUGCGGCCUGCCGGGACCGAGGAACGCGCUUCGGCUCGGAUGCUGGCGUAAUGGUUGCAAGCGACCCGUCUUGAAACACGGACCAAGGAGUCUAACAUCCACGCGAGUGUUCGGGUGUCAAACCCGUGCGCGCAGUGAAAGCGAACGGAGGUGAGAUCCCCCCCUCGCGGGGGGCGCAUCAUCGACCGAUCCUGAAGUCUUCGGAUGGAUUUGAGUACGAGCGUGGCUGUGGGGACCCGAAAGAUGGUGAACUAUGCCUGAAUAGGGCGAAGCCAGAGGAAACUCUGGUGGAGGCUCGCAGCGGUUCUGACGUGCAAAUCGAUCGUCGAAUUUGGGUAUA